UCGGUAGUGAUUAUUCUAACG
rnacentral:piRNA from 1 species